rnacentral:pre_miRNA from 3 species
AUGUUUCCUAGAGUUCCUCUGAGCACUUCAUUGGAGAUACCAUCUUUUAUCAAAUGGUUUUCUACUGAAGUGUUUGGGGGAACUCCCGGACUCAU